UACGUAGGGGGCAAGCGUUGUCCGGAAUCAUUGGGCGUAAAGCGCGUGUAGGCGGCCCGGUAAGUCCGCUGUGAAAGUCCAGGGCUCAACCCUGGGAUGCCGGUGGAUACUGUCGGGCUCGAGUCCGGAAGAGGCGAGUGGAAUUCCUGGUGUAGCGGUGAAAUGCGCAGAUAUCAGGAGGAACACCGGUGGCGAAGGCGGUUCUCUGGGAAUGACCUGACGCUGAGGAGCGAAAGCGUGGGUAGCAAACAGG
rnacentral:rRNA from 1 species